rnacentral:rRNA from 1 species
AGUGAACGCUGGCGGCGUGCUUAACACAUGCAAGUCGAACGAGAACGGAAUAUAGCUUGCUAUAUUUGUCAGCUAAGUGGCGCACGGGUGAGUAAUGUAUCGAUAACAUGCUCUUAAGAAAGGAAUAACAGCUGGAAACGACUGCUAAUGCCCUAUAUGCCUUUAAUACAUAAGUAUGCAAGGGAAACGCUUUAGUGCUUAAGGAUGGGUCUGUAUGGUAUCAGCUUGUUGGUGAGGUAAUGGCUCACCAAGGCUAUGACGCCUAACUGGUUUGAGAGGAUGAUCAGUCACACUGGAACUGAGACACGGUCCAGACUGCUACGGGAGGCAGCAGUGGGGAAUAUUGCACAAUGGACGAAAGUCUGAUGCAGCAACGCCGCGUGGAGGAUGACACAUUUCGGUGCGUAAACUCCUUUUAUACAGGAAGAUAAUGACGGUACUAUAUGAAUAAGCACCGGCUAACUCCGUGCCAGCAGCCGCCGUAA